rnacentral:rRNA from 1 species
ACGCUCGACACCUACGGAGGCAGCAGUGAGGAAUAUUGGUCAAUGGGCGCUAGCCUGAACCAGCCAAGUAGCGUGAAGGAUGAAGGCUCUAUGGGUCGUAAACUUCUUUUAUAUAAGAAUAAAGUGCAGUAUGUAUACUGUUUUGUAUGUAUUAUAUGAAUAAGGAUCGGCUAACUCCGUGCCACAGCCGCGGUAAUCUGAGCGGCUGGCAAGGC